AUUGAACGCUGGCGGCAGGCCUAACACAUGCAAGUCGAGCGGAGCGGCGGACGGGUGAGUAAUGCCUAGGAAUCUGCCUGGUAGUGGGGGAUAACGUCCGGAAACGGGCGCUAAUACCGCAUACUAUCAGAUGAGCCUAGGUCGGAUUAGCUAGUUGGUGGGGUAAAGGCCUACCAAGGCGACGAGCCGUAACUGGUCUGAGAGGAUGAUCAGUCACCCUGGAACUGAGACACGGUCCAGCCUCCACUGGGAUGCAGCAGUGGAGAAUAUUGGACAAUGGGCUAGAGCCUGAUCCAGCCAUGCCGCGUAUGUGGAGAAGGUCUUCGGAUUGUAAAGCCCUUUAAGUUGGGAGGCGUUACCAACAGAAUAAGCACCGGCUAACUUCGUGCCAGCAGCCGCGGUAAUAC
rnacentral:rRNA from 1 species